rnacentral:misc_RNA from 1 species
UUGCGGCGCCGACAAAGUGCACGCGUAUACUGCUCCUGUUUCCCUCGGUCAGUGCCGGCAGGUGGUGGGUGUGUACGGAACGUUUUCGGUCUCCCGGUCUUCUGGGCACGCAGGAGGAAAGAGGAAGAGGAAGGAUCGGCUCGAGUUCUCUCACUGCCGCGUGAGCACCAGUCAUGGGCGGAUAUGCAUGGGUUACACUGGCUACGAAUGAUGCCUAUUCUUUGGGAGCAUUGGUCUUGGCGCAUUCUUUACGUCGAGUCGGCACCAAGUACGAGCUGGCCUGUCUGGUCACUCCUGGAGUUACGGCGACCAUGAGGGAAAAAUUGGCUGCAGUAUUUUCCUUUGUACAGGAAGUCAAUGUUCUCGACUCGAAAGACGAAGCAAAUCUGGCCUUGUUGGCUAGACCAGAAUUGGGCAUCACUUUUACUAAGUUACAUUGUUGGAGGCUAACUCAAUACGAGAAGUGUGUAUUUGUUGAUGCAGAUGCGCUUGUCGUACGAAAUUGCGAUGAGUUAUUCGAACGGGAGGAACUAUCGGCAGCGCCCGAUGUCGGCUGGCCUGACUGCUUUAAUUCCGGAGUAUUUGUAUUCAGACCGUCUCAACAAACGUUCGCGUCAAUCACCGCAUUUGCCGCCGCCAAAGGCUCGUUCGACGGCGGUGAUCAAGGUCUAUUGAACAUGUACUUCAGCGACUGGGCCACCAAGGACAUCUCCAAGCAUCUACCGUUUAUCUACAACAUGUGUUCUACCGCGAUGUACUCUUAUCUCCCCGCAUUUAAACAAUUCGGCGACGACGUGAGAAUAAUACACUUUAUCGGCAUAACGAAACCGUGGUUACAGUAUUUCGAUACCCUGUCCGGUACCGUCCAGCCAGCAUCAGAAUCGACGCAUUUGCAACCGCUGUUGCAACUAUGGUGGAACAUAUUUUGCGAGCGAGUGCAUCCUCAACUGUCGCCUUCCAUGCAAAGCAGUGAGCAAUUACAUUCAAUUAUAAAUAAGACGAGGGCGGGUAUCGCUGGUGCCUUGGCUCAAAUCACGUUGGGCGCAGCGAGGAGUGCCGAGCAGGUAGCCCUGGAGGAGCACAUGAGGAAGCAAAGCUGGGAACAAGGACAGAUCGAUUACAUGGGCCGCGACAGCUUCGAUAAUAUAUGGAAGAAGAUCUGUGAAACGCUUUCCUUUGCGCCGCAACGGCAACCAACUCCACCUAAAGAAGAUACCGCUACUUUGGAAACUGCUGUAAAAGAAACUGUUGGUGCGCCUGUAGACGAAGUGAAUAAACUAGCUGGAACAGAGGACAGCAACUAACAGAUCCUGGCGCCAUAGCAUUGCUGCGUCUUGUAUUGUCGUUUUGCUUUAAUGGGUUGAAACGGAUAAGGAUCCAACGCAAUCUCUAGUAUGCGAAAUUCCUAAAGAGGAGAAGCUUUCAGCGACGCAAAGCCCUGAACAGAAAGCAUCUGAGUUAUUUUCCGAGAAGAACGUAACGAUAGAAGCUGCUGCA